rnacentral:rRNA from 1 species
AGUGAACGCUGGCGGUAGGCCUAACACAUGCAAGUCGAACGGCAGCACAGUAAGAGCUUGCUCUUACGGGUGGCGAGUGGCGGACGGGUGAGGAAUACAUCGGAAUCUACUUUUUCGUGGGGGAUAACGUAGGGAAACUUCCGCUAAUACCGCAUACGACCUACGGGUUAAAGCAGGGGAUCUUCGGACCUUGCGCGAUUGAAUGAGCCGAUGUCGGAUUAGCUAGUUGGCGGGGUAAAGGCCCACCAAGGCGACGAUCCGUAGCUGGUCUGAGAGGAUGAUCAGCCACACUGGAACUGAGACACGGUCCAGACUCCUACGGGAGGCAGCAGUGGGGAAUAUUGGACAAUGGGCGCAAGCCUGAUCCAGCCAUACCGCGUGGGUGAAGAAGGCCUUCGGGUUGUAAAGCCCUUUUGUUGGGAAAGAAAAGCAGCAGGUUAAUACCCCGCUGUUCUGACGGUACCCAAAGAAUAAGCACCGGCUAACUUCGUG